AGAAGAAGUACCACUCCUUCUCCCCCAUCUUUGCCCGCCAUGGAAGAUCCCAUGGCUCACACUUGUUCAAAUCAACAUCUCCAAUCGCCCUCGCGGAGAAUCCAGAAUCCAUGACCUUGUUGCAGAGAUAGUGUGUGAUGAGCUCUUCGUCGGUUGGGUGGAACCGGAAACCCGGAGGCAAAUCCAUGCCCUCCUCCUCCCUGCCAAGGACCAAGCCGCCAUGCUCCAUAGCUUAAGAGGACAUGAAAGUUUGAAGUCUCUAUCUAACGUCGGA
rnacentral:misc_RNA from 1 species